CUGAGAAGUUGGUCAAACUUGGUCAUUAGAGGAAGUAAAAGUCGUAACAAGGUUUCCGUAGGUGAACCUGCGGAAGGAUCAUUAUCGUACAAAAUGUGAGAGGGGCAUGCGAGGGCUGUCGCUGACUCAAAGUCGUGCACGCCCGAGUGUGUCGCCUCACAUAAUAAUCCAUCUCACCCUUUGUGCAUCACCGCGUGGGCACCCCUUUGGGAUCAUCUCGGAGGGGGCUCGCGUUUUCACACAAAACCCCCCUUUUAAAAGUGUAGAAUGACCUCAUUUAUGCGCUAACCCGCAAUCAAUACAACUUUCAACAACGGAUCUCUUGGCUCUCGCAUCGAUGAAGAACGCAGCGAAAUGCGAUACGUAAUGUGAAUUGCAGAAUUCAGUGAAUCAUCGAAUCUUUGAACGCACCUUGCGCCCCCUGGUAUUCCGAGGGGCACACCCGUUUGAGUGUCGUGAAAACCUCAACCUCCUUGGUUUCUUCUGGAGACCAAAGCAGGCUUGGACUUUGGAGGCCUUUGCUGGCACCUCUCGCCAGCUCCUCUUAAAUGAAUUAGCAGGGUCCUCUUUGCUGAUCCUCGACGUGUGAUAAGAUGUUUCCAUGUCUUGGUUUCUGGCUCUGUCACCUUUGGGACCCGCUUCUAACCGUCUUCAACCUUGCGUUGAGACANACGUUCGAGCAUGUCUCCCUUCUCGGGAAGCUCCCUCGACCCCACGAACCCUUGACCUCAAAUCGGGUGAGACUACCCGCUGAACUUAAGCAUAUCAAUAAGCGGAGGAAAAGAAACU
rnacentral:rRNA from 1 species